rnacentral:tRNA from 2 species
GGAAUGUUAAGUUAUAUGGGAGACUAUGGUAUUUCAAGUACUAAAGAGGACAGGUGUCACAUUUCG